rnacentral:rRNA from 1 species
GACGAACGCUGGCGGCGUGCUUAACACAUGCAAGUCGAACGGAAAGGCCCUGCUUUUGUGGGGUGCUCGAGUGGCGAACGGGUGAGUAACACGUGAGUAACCUGCCCUUGACUUUGGGAUAACUUCAGGAAACUGGGGCUAAUACCGGAUAGGAGCUCCUGCUGCAUGGUGGGGGUUGGAAAGUUUCGGCGGUUGGGGAUGGACUCGCGGCUUAUCAGCUUGUUGGUGGGGUAGUGGCUUACCAAGGCUUUGACGGGUAGCCGGCCUGGGAGGGUGACCGGCCACAUUGGGACUGAGGAACGGCCCAGACGCCUACGGGAGGCAGCAGUGGGGAAUAUUGCACAAUGGGCGGAAGCCGGAUGCAGCAACGCCGCGUGCGGGAUGACGGCCUUCGGGUUGGAAACCGCUUUCGCCUGUGACGAAGCGUGAGUGACGGUAAUGGGUAAAGAAGCACCGGCUAACUACGUG